UAAUACUCCAUAGAUUAGAGACACUGGAAUGUUCUGUAGUCGAAAGUCCUGGCGCCUUAGGAUGGAUCUGCGGUCGAUUAGGUUGUUGUUGGGGUAACGGCCCAACAAGCCUGUAAUCGAUACGGGUUGUGGGAGCAAGAGCCCGGAGAUGGAAUCUGAGACACGAUUCCAGGCCCUACGGGGCGCAGCAGGCGCGAAAACUUUACAAUGCAGGAAACUGUGAUAAGGGAACUCCGAGUGCCCGUAUACGCGGGCUGUCCAGGUGUUUAAAAAUCAUCUGAAGAAAGGGCCGGGCAAGACCGGUGCCAGCCGCCGCGGUAAUACCGGCGGCUCGAGUGGUGGCCACUAUUAUUGGGCUUAAAGCGUCCGUAGCUGGACCGAUAAGUCUCUUGGGAAAUCCGCCGGCUCAACCGGCGGGCGUCUAAGGGAUACUGUUAGUCUAGGGACCGGGAGAGGUGAGAGGUACUCCGGGGGUAGGAGUGAAAUCCUGUAAUCCCCGGGGGACCACCGAUGGCGAAGGCAUCUCACCAGAACGGCUCCGACAGUGAGGGACGAAAGCUGGGGGAGCGAACCGGAUUAGAUACCCGGGUAGUCCCAGCCGUAAACUAUGCGCGUUAGGUGUAC
rnacentral:rRNA from 1 species